CCUACGGGAGGCUGCAGUGGGGGAUAUUGCACAAUGGGGGAAACCCUGAUGCAGCGACGCCGCGUGGGUGAAGAAGCGCCUCGGCGCGUAAAGCCCUGUCAGCAGGGAAGAAAAUGACGGUACCUGAAGAAGCCCCGGCUAACUACGUGCCAGCAGCCGCGGUAAUACGUAGGGGGCAAGCGUUAUCCGGAUUUACUGGGUGGAAAGGGGGCGCAGACGGCGAUGCAAGCCAGGAGUGAAAGCCCGGGGCCCAACCCCGGGACUGCGCGUGGAACUGCGUGGCUAGAGUGCAGGAGGGGCAGGCGGAAUUCCUGGUGGAGCGGUGAAAGGCGUAGAUAUCAGGAGGAACACCGGUAGCGAAGGCGGCCUGCUGGACUGCAACUGACGUUGAGGCCCGAAAGCGUGGGGAGCAAACAGGAGUAGAUACCCCAGUAGUC
rnacentral:rRNA from 1 species